UACGUAGGGGGCAAGCGUUGUCCGGAAUCAUUGGGCGUAAAGCGCGUGUAGGCGGCCCGGUAAGUCCGCUGUGAAAGUCCAGGGCUCAACCCUGGGAUGCCGGUGGAUACUGUCGGGCUCGAGUCCGGAAGAGGCGAGUGGAAUUCCUGGUGUAGCGGUGAAAUGCGCAGAUAUCAGGAGGAACACCAAUGGCGAAGGCAGCUCGCUGGGACGUGACUGACGCUGAGACGCGAAAGCGUGGGGAGCGAACAGG
rnacentral:rRNA from 1 species